GACGAACGCUGGCGGUGUGCCUCACACAUGCAAGUCGAGCGGAUUUACUUAGGAGCUUGCUCUUAAGUAAGUUAGCGGCGGACGGGUGAGUAAUGCGUAGGAAUCUACCCUAAGGUAGGGGAUAACGGGCUGAAAGGUCCGCUAAUACCCCAUAUGCGGGUUCUCUUCGGAGGAUUCGUGAAAGGAGCAAUUCGCCUUUGGAUGAGCCUGCGUCCGAUUAGCUAGUUGGUAAGGUAAAGCUACCAAGGCUUCGAUCGGUAGUUGGUCUGAGAGGAUGAUCAGCCACAAUGGGACUGAGACACGGCCCAUACUCCUACGGGAGGCAGCAGUGGGAAUUUUACGCAAU
rnacentral:rRNA from 1 species